CUUGGUUUUGGCUCAGGUGAUGAUCUCAUGGUUUAGGAGUUCGAGCCCUGCAUCGGGUUCUGUGUUGACAGUGCUGAGCCUGCUUGGGAUAUUCUCUCUCUCUCUCUCUCCUUCUCCCUUUGCCCCUCCCCUGCACGGGCACGCACGCGCUCUCUCUCUCUCUCAAAAUAAAUACAUAAACUUAAAAAAAGCAAAACAUAUGGGGCUCCUGAGUGGCUCAGUCGGUUAAGCGUCCGACUUCAGCUCAGGUCACAAUCUCACGGUUCAUGAGUUCGAGCCCUGCGUUGGGCUCUGUGCUGACAGCUCAGAGCCUGGAGCCUGCUUGGGAUUCUGUGUCUCCUUCUCUCUCUCUGCCCCUCCUGCACUUGUGCUCGAUCUCUCUCUGUCUCUCAAAAAUAAAUAAAUGUAAAAAAAAUUUUUUUUCUAAAGCAAGAAAUAAGAGUAUAGUUACCGUGAUGAGUCCUGAGAAAUGCAGUGAAUUGUCGAAUCACAUCAGACACCUGGAACGAAUAUAACACUGUAUAUUAACCAGACUUGACUACAUGUAAAAUGAAACAAAAAACAAACCAGCGAAAGGAAUGAAUCCUUAAAAGCCCCGCCUUCGUGGAAGAGAGUAAUGCAUGGGCACCUGAUCCCUUUAUAAGCUUGGCAAGGCAUCUGCACCCAGGACGGUAUUCGCUACAAGAGCCCUGCGAUGAAAACCUUUCUUCUUGCCUCACAGAAAACUAUGGUUCAGAUGGGCGAGAUGAUUUGCUCAAGAAGUGGGGAGGCGGGCGGCCUCCCUGCUCUGGUUUCUUGUUUUCUUUUCUGGCUCCUGGGCUUUCCCGGGAGAAAAGGGGGGCGGGCCCUGCAGGGGGCGCUCUCUGCGGCUCCCUCUCCACGCAGCCUGUGGCACCAGCAGGAAGAAGAAAGAUCAGCAUUAUCCGGACGAGGGAGGACACUCUCCAGGUAGGAAUUUCAUCCUCUGCUUUUAAGAAACGGGAGGAGGCUCCCUCCCUGCCCGGACACACCCGGCCAACGAGAAGCCGCCACACCCUUGAACUCUUCUUCUUCCCCGCUGAACUCGCAUUCAGAGCAACCCUCCCCAGUGUCCUCCCGACGGGUAGGAAAAGGCGCCUUCCCUUUGUCUCUCCAGACUCGCGUGUGGCUCGCCAUGGUCUGUCCCGAAGGGCGAUUCCUCUGCUGUUCCCGAAGGAAGUCAUUUCGCGGGUGACAGAGCUAUUGGAUUUUUAAGGCUGGCAGCCCAGAGGGAGAGAAAUCCUUAAAACCCUCAAGUAUUCCAGAAAUGUACUUUCCGGCCCUAAACUCUCCCUGUUGGCUCGAGAUAAGUCCACGAAACUUCACGUACCGAUCUCAGAGCUCAGCUGGUGGGGGAGGGGGGGCAAGCCCGGCAGUCUGAGCCCCCGAUGACGCACGGCGGCUGCCACUUGCUGAGUUUGCCUCCCCGAUUUUCGCUGUGACUCAGUUUCCUCGCUUUGGGGAAGAGUACAUACCUGACAGGGGUGCUGAGGGGACGACGAGAGGCAAAAUAGGGAUGGCGCUCAGCACACAGUAGGUGCUCAGUUAAUAAGAACUGAUAUUUUCUUUAUGUAAUGUUUAUUUUUGAGAGAGAGCGACAGAGCGCAGGUGGAGGAGGGGCAGAGAGAGAGGGAGGCACAGAACCCGAAGCAGGCUCCAGGCUCUGAGCCGUCAGCCCAGAGCCCGACGCGGGGCUCGAACCCAUGAGCCGCGAGAUCGUGACCUGAGCCGAAGUCGGACGCUUAACCGACUGAGCCACCCAGGCGCCCCUAGUCACAGACUUCAAAAGGAAAACAACCACAGACUCACAAGACAAAAAAGUACGGCCCCGUGUCCCUUACACCCAACUUUCCCCGAUGGGGACAGCUCACGUAACCGCAGUCAUUGCCAAGGCCAGCAAACGGACCCUAGCACCGCGAACUAGCUGGCAGACCUCGCUCAAAUUUCACUCGUUCCCGCACACGCUCGUUUUAGACAUAAAGAUGGUCCUGCGACGUGUUACCACCGGUCCAGUUCAGGCGACCAUCGCAACACUCGAGACCCUUCUGUUGCUGCUGGGGCGCUCCACAGGACCGACCCUCGAGGGUGACACCUUCUCAGGACGUCCCUAACUCCUGGUGACCGCCGAUCUGCUGCCCACCUCCAUAAUUUGGGCCUUAUGAGAAUAUUUCACAAGCGGAUUCGUACAGCACGUAACCCUUCAAGGCUGGCUUUCAAACAAUUCACUCAGAGUGAUGCCCUGGAGCUCCAUCCGGGUUGCUGCCUAUAUAAAUAGCUCUUUCCUUUCUGUGGCUGAAUAAUCGGUCUCUAAAAGAGGGACAGGACCCCGGAGGCCCCUCCCAACCUCCUUCCGCUGUGCCGGGAUCCCCCGCGGAACCCCCACGUGUGGAGGUCUCACCUCCAGGAGCCAGUGGCCCUUCCACAUCGCUUUGCUCUUCUGCAGGGAGAGUCCUGGGCACGGCUCCCUCGCCUCUGCCCCUCUGGCUUUCUCUCUUUACUCCCUCCUUGUCCUUUUCCAAAGUGCACUCUGUGAACCUCCUUCCCCCUCUGCCUGGUGGGCGGGUCAGGCAACCCCAGGACUGCCCAGCCCUUGUGGGCAGAGGUGGGGACCCGGUCCAGCACUACCCCUACGCAAAGUGCAGCCAAGUCACGGAUCUCAGAGGGGAGAACCGGUAUUUGCCGAGUAGCUGCAGGGGGUUGAGGGGGGGGGUCCCCUCAAAAGAUGUGUCCAUGAUCUAAUCUCUGCAACCCCUAACCGUGACUUUACGUGGAAAGACCUUAGGUCUCUGCAAAUCCUCUAAGUUAAAGAUCUUGAGAUCGUCGCAGGCUGUCCGGGUGGGCCCUAAAUCCAAUGGCUAGUGUCCUUACAAGAGACACGGAAGAGAGACGACAGGGAGCUGGGGGGAGGGCCCAGGCAGAGGCAGAGAUUGGAGGGACGCCUGGAGCCAGAGAGGCAAGCUCUCCCCUGGAGCCCCCAGGAAAGGGCAGAGCUAAAAGGAGGAAAAGCACCCCCAGCCCUUGGGUGGCGCCCCCCCCCCCCCCAGCUCUGUCAUAUGGCAGGCCCACGAGUGUCCUCGCUGGAAGCUCACAGCCUUCCUUAGCAACCGAGGUGGCCAAACAGAGGUCCCGGGACGCUGGCGGGCGGGGCAGCCACUUGGGUCCACACGCUGACCAAGGGGGUGGGUGCCAUGGCCCUUCUCUAAGGAAGGCCUUCUCCCCCUCCCUCCCUCUUGUUCUCACUGCCCUCCAGGUGCCCAGCAGGGGGCCGGGGUUGUGCUCAGCUUAUGUUAAAAGAAUGAAUGAACCAAUGAGCAGAUGAGAGCUUCAGUGGUCCCCAGCAGUCCCGUGGAGUCUCCCGCGCUGACACACACAGGCCCAGUCACCGCCUCCCCGGGUCCUGCUUAUACACAACUUGGGAUGAACCCCUACAGGGCAGGUUUUGCUUCGUCUGAUGACUCCAGAAGCUCCUGGAACUUAGCAUCCCGGUCUGUGUCCCUGUCCCCAGUCAAGCACACAGUCGGUCCUCAAUAACGGAAGCGGACUGAGGUUUCUAGGAGACCCUGGCCACUGGCCCAACCUCCGCCAUGCUGAGCUACUGGAAGCUUCUAGAAGAUGCGCAAAGUAGGUGCCCGCCGCGGAAGCAAAGCACAGUCCCUUCCAGGCCACCCGCUCUGGCAAGACAGACACCGGCAGACACAUGGCUCGUAGCACGUGGUACUCUUUAUUGUGACGCUCAGUGGAAAACAUCUGUAAACCAGCUAACUGUAGUGGUGACAGCCGUAACGCAUGCUAAGGCACUUUUAUUAUAUAAAAAAAGGGUGGGGCUGGGAGCUCCGUUCACUCCUUUGUGACAGCAACUGGGACCUGAAUUCAGAGCUUUUUAGGCAUAUGUAGCUUUCGUGUAUCUUCAUGAUUUGUUGAGUUUGUUUCCUUUAAAAAAAAAAAAAAUGCCUUCUUUGCCAUAAGUAAGUCUAAAUGCAGCAUAUACAAAACAGGAACACAGGUGAAUUAAUUCAGCAGCCAGUGUAGACCAGCGCAGGACAAACUAUUCUCUUCUAAACGUGGUUCCAAAGGAGAGGCAGUGAUAAAGACUUGGAAUUGUAUCAUUUAUUAUAAGAAGGGGAAAAAAAAAGAAAACUUUUUUUUUUUUUCCUUUCAAAAACAU